UACAGAGGUCUCAAGCGUUGUUCGGAUUCAUUGGGCGUAAAGGGUGCGUAGGCGGCGCGGUAAGUCGGGUGUGAAAUCUCGGAGCUUAACUCCGAAACUGCAUUCGAUACUGCCGUGCUUGAGGACUGGAGAGGAGACUGGAAUUUACGGUGUAGCGGUGAAAUGCGUAGAUAUCGUAAGGAAGACCAGUGGCGAAGGCGGGUCUCUGGACAGUUCCUGACGCUGAGGCACGAAGGAC
rnacentral:rRNA from 1 species